UACGAAGGGGGCUAGCGUUGCUCGGAAUCACUGGGCGUAAAGCGCACGUAGGCGGCUUGUUAAGUCAGGGUGAAAUCCUGGAGCUCAACUCCAGAACUGCCUUGAUACUGGCGAGCUUGAGUUCGGGAGAGGUGAGUGGAACUGCGAGUGUAGAGGUGAAAUUCGUAGAUAUUCGCAAGAACACCAGUGGCGAAGGCGGCUCACUGGCCCGAUACUGACGCUGAGGUGCGAAAGCGUGGGGAGCAAACAGG
rnacentral:rRNA from 1 species